rnacentral:rRNA from 1 species
CAAGUCGAACGGAUCCUUCGGGAUUAGUGGCAGACGGGUGAGUAACGCGUGGGAAGCUACCUUGUGGUAGGGAACAACAGUUGGAAACGACUGCUAAUACCCUAUGAGCCCUAUGGGGGAAAGAUUUAUCGCCAUGAGAUGUGCCCGCGUUAGAUUAGCUAGUUGGUAAGGUAAUGGCUUACCAAGGCGACGAUCUAUAGCUGGUCUGAGAGGAUGAUCAGCCACACUGGGACUGAGACACGGCCCAGACUCCUACGGGAGGCAGCAGUGGGGAAUAUUGGACAAUGGGGGCAACCCUGAUCCAGCCAUGCCGCGUGUGUGAUGACGGCCUUAGGGUUGUAAAGCACUUUCAGCAGUGAAGAUAAUGACAUUAACUGCAGAAGAAGCCCCGGCUAACUUCGUGCCAGCAGCCGCGGUAAUACGAAGGGGGCUAGCGUUGUUCGGAAUCACUGGGCGUAAAGCGUACGUAGGCGGGCUGAUAAGUUAGGGGUGAAAUCCCGGGGCUCAACCCCGGAACUGCCUUUGAUACUGUCAGUCUUGAGAUCGAGAGAGGUGAGUGGAACUCCGAGUGUAGAGGUGAAAUUCGUAGAUAUUCGGAAGAACACCAGUGGCGAAGGCGGCUCACUGGCUCGAUACUGACGCUGAGGUACGAAAGCGUGGGGAGCAAACAGGAUUAGAUACCCUGGUAGUCCACGCCGUAACGAUGAAUGCUAGUUGUCAGGUAGCUUGCUAUUUGGUGACGCAGCUAACGCAUUAAGCAUUCCGCCUG